UACGUAGGGUGCGAGCGUUGUCCGGAAUUACUGGGCGUAAAGAGCUCGUAGGUGGUUUGUCGCGUUGUUCGUGAAAACCGGGGGCUUAACCCUCGGCGUGCGGGCGAUACGGGCAGACUUGAGUACUGCAGGGGAGACUGGAAUUCCUGGUGUAGCGGUGGAAUGCGCAGAUAUCAGGAAGAACACCCGUGGCGAAGGCGGUUCUCUGGGACGGUACUGACGCUGAGACGCGAAAGCGUGGGGAGCGAACAGG
rnacentral:rRNA from 1 species